CCUGCUAUUCUUAUGGCCAAAAGUUGUCCAAACUGGCCAUCUUGAGAAUAGCCUGUAACUAUAUCCUUUCCUUGGCCAGACUAGCUGACCUGGACUAUAGCGCAGACCACAGUAACAUGAGCUUCUCCGAAUGCGUGGAGCAGUGCACGAGGACCUUACAAGCAGAAGGAAGAUCUAAAAAAAGGAAGGAAUAAGAACUGGGAAAGGAGAAUUCAGAAGAACGUCCAGCCAUCGUUCCAUCUAUUUUGGGCAAUGGUUGCAUAACCCACACGAAGACUGCAAGCGGCUUUUUUGCAGAGACCCCUUUCAGGACAACAGUUGGCUAAGGGACAGUCUCAAAUCUCUGGGGGGAAAAAAAAAGAUGGGAGUGUUUGUUUUGUUUUGUUUUGUUUUGAAGCCAGCCACCUUUUAGUAUGUGCAAUUUAUUUAGCACUUUUCCCUUUGCUUAACAGGGAAAUGAUACCUUCUCAGCUCACCUUGUACAGUGGUGUUGUUGGUGUUGUUGUUGCUGUUGUGCCAAAGAUUUGAUGGAGCUUCUACACCGCUUCUUCAUUUUGCCUUAACGUUAAAUCUUCGAGCCAAAGACAAGUCAGAAGUUGUGUUCAGAUCAUGUUGAGCGGGCCAUUUCUUAGUGACAAAUCACAAUUUCCAAAUCCUUCUGUAAGUCUCCUCCUAUUUCUCCUGUCCAUAGUUAUCUGCUUGAAGCACUGGAACCAAAUGCUCACAGUGGGGAAAGAGCCAGGACACACCAAUACUUGCUCCAGAAUCGAUUUGUUUUCUUUCUUUCUUUUCUUUGAGCAAUUCCAUCAUUCUGUUUCUUUGGCAAUUACCCUAUUUUCUUUCCUGCUGUGAAACACGUCCACAGGGUAGAAAUACUGACAGAGUGAGACCUGAAACAUGAAAUGUGCUUUUUAAAAAUAUAUAUAUUAUAUAUAUAUAUAUAUAUAUAAAAGUAAAUAAAAAUAAGUGCCAUAUAAAGCAAUAAAAAGAGAAUCAGAAGAAAGUUCAGAUACGCAGAAGGGAAUGCAGCAAAGCUAUUCAGAGGUUGUUUCAGUUCUGUGAAGUGAUUUUGGAGGGGGGAGGGAGGGGGAAUCAAAGUGGUUAAAAACCCAUGUAAUGCAAAGGCAUUUGAAUCCUAUAUUGUACCUUUCACUUCAAAUUGAAGUAAAAAAAAAAAAUUGAGAAACAUUCGCUUGGAGUAUGCAGACUUUGUAGGUAAUACGGGAUGUAUGCAGGACAUCUGCUAGCAAUGGAACAGAACUCCAUGUCAUAGUGAAGGAAUAUGGGUGCUUGAAGAAGGGCAGAUUCAAUGUUUUGCUUCCACUCCAGGGUAAAGGUUAUAUAUGAUGGGACCAAAUUCAAGUCUUAGUUAUACCAGCAUAAAUCAGGCUAUUUGCUGUCCAAUUUACUCCAAUAUAGAGGAUUCUUAAUCUGGUCCUGUAUUUGUAUGAAGCCAGAUGGUUGUGUGUUGUGGGGCGAGACCAGGGUCUCUUAUUAUAAGCAUAUCAUUCUUCACAGUCCAAAUUCAGCCAGGUAAAGGGAUUCCAUGGUUGCACUUCCCAAUGCAGAUCUGGGACGUGAAGGGCUGGUUUGAUUGCAUGAUGUCCUCCCUGACAAGCGCUUGAACAUCCAUGACUGCUGGGCUCGGGGCAGAAGGCUCAUUCACCAAACAUAUGGCAGAAAUACCCAAAGCACACUCAGAUUCACACCUGUGAAUGGGAGAUGACAUCUCCCACCAUCCACAGGGCACGUUGGCAUCCUGGCAUACGAGUGCUGCUACUGUCAGUAGAGCAACCAUAAAGAAAUCUUCAGUGAAUCGCUGUCAAGAACAAAGGGCUAUGGCCCCUUUAGAGAGAUACUGCUGAGAGGUAGCGGAAGAUGGGUGGAGAAGUACGAGCUGAUGGAUUUGGCAUGGCCGAGAACUAAUAAAACAGGGAAGGAGGAAAUGAAGGCAGGAUGGAUAGAGUAUCUUCAGGCGAGUUCAGCUGCAUCCCUGGGAGGACGUGGGACUUAGCAGUUUUGCUCAGAGGACUCCACAAAUUCUUACAUUAAUUAAAAGCAAGCAGAACUCAGAACUGGAACUGCUUGUGGGAAAUAAGUAGUACAUGGGUUGCGGUGAGAGAAACGCACUGAACAUCACCAGUUCCCUCUUUGGUGUGGAGCAGAGCUGAGUGAAACAAUUCAGAGGGAAGACUUCAGUUGAGAAAUUCAUCUGCCCUGUUUGUUUAUAAAUAGUCUCAGUCUUUUUUAAAGUGUAUUAGUCAUGAAUUAAUUACCUCUCAAGUACUUUCUACUCAAGUAAUUUAUUAAUUGCCUCUCAAGUAUUUUUUGUUGCAACAUGCAAUGGUUGCAAGUUGAACUGUAUUGCUGUGUUCUGAUGGGGUACUUCCCAAGAUAUUGCUUUUUUCGUCCCCACCUUUAGAGAAUAAAGGUCUUAAAAUCAA